GGUUCAUUCAAAUUUCUGCCCUAUCAACUUUCGAUGGUAAGGUAUUGGCUUACCAUGGUUUCAACGGGUAACGGGGAAUUACGGGUUCGACUCCGAGAGGGAGCCUGAGAAACGGCUACUACAUCCAAGGAAGGCAGCAGGCGCGCAAAUUACCCAAUCCCGACCGGGGAGGUAGUGACAAUAAAUACUGAUACAGGGCUCUUUUGAGUCUUGUAAUUGGAAUGAGUACAAUUUAAAUCCCUUAACGAGGAACAAUUGGAGGGCAAGUCUGGUGCCAGCAGCCGCGGUAAUUCCAGCUCCAAUAGCGUAUAUUAAAGUUGUUGCAGUUAAAAAGCUCGUAGUUG
rnacentral:rRNA from 1 species